rnacentral:rRNA from 1 species
GCAUAUCAAUAAGCGGAGGAAAAGAAACUAACAAGGAUUCCCUUAGUAACGGCGAGUGAAGCGGGAAUAGCUCAAAUUUGAAAGCUGGCAGCAAUGUCCGCGUUGUAAUCUARAGAAGUGUUUUCCGUGCUGGACCAUAGAUAUGUUCCUUGGAAUAGGAUGUCAUAGAGGGUGAGAACCCCGUACAUGCUAUGGACGCCCAGUGCUUUGUGAUACACUUUCGAAGAGUCGAGUUGUUUGGGAAUGCAGCUCAAAAUGGGUGGUAAAUUCCAUCUAAAGCUAAAUAUUGGGGAGAGACCGAUAGCAAACAAGUACCGUGAGGGAAAGAUGAAAAGCACUUUGGAAAGAGAGUUAAACAGUACGUGAAAUUGUCAAAAGGGAAGCGCUUCAAGUCAGAUAUGGCUUUGAAUGUUCAGCCUUUAGGUGUAUUCAUUUUUUGUCAGGCCAGCAUCGAUUUUGAACGUCGGAUAAGGGUAGAAAGAACGUAGCAUACUCUCGGGUAUGUGUUAUAGCUUUUUACUGGAUUCGACGAUCGGGAUCGAGGUUCGCAGCACACCCUUUUUUGGGCAGGUCUCGGACACUUUUUGUGCUUAGGAUGCUGGCGUAAUGGCUUGAAGCGACCCGUCUUGAAACACGGACC